rnacentral:misc_RNA from 2 species
AACGCAUAUUGCGCCCUUUGGUAUUCCGAAGGGCAUGCCUGUUCGAGCGUCAUUAUCACCCCUCAAGCCCGGCUUGCUGUUGGACGUCGUCCCCGGUUCACCCCGGGGGCCCGCCCCAAAGAUAAUGACGGCGCCUGUGACGACUCCGGUACACUGAGCUUUCGGGCACGUACUCGGCUAGGAAUCCAGGCCCGUCUUCAACUAUUUUAAUUAAUACCAAGGUUGACCUCGGAUCAGGUAGGAAUACCCGCUGAACUUAA